AUUGUCCGAAGCGGGUGAAUGCGAUUGUUGCUGAGAGGGCUGAGGAAAGCGAGAUCGUGGGUGCAAGGAUGAAUCCGUUGCAGUUGAUGUCUGCAAUUCAAGUUGAGUCCAAGAAUGAGGGCGGAUCAAACGUUGGUGCGGAAGAGAUGAUGGAUCCGGCCAUAAUUUGGUUCGGGAACAUUCGUGAAAAGGAGCUCAGAGAAUGGGGUUUUAUCCUAUCAACAACGAGGAUGUCGUUGGGUUUUGGUGGGGGUGGUUUGUUAAACCUUGAGAAGAAAGGCCCGAGACACAUCGAGUCCGUGCGAUGUGCCUCGACAGUUUGGGGUAAGGUUGUCGAGAAGAUAGGCAACGGAGCCAAGUAUUGAUGCGAAGCAACACAACGUUCGGAUGAGUACCGGGCGAGACACGGAUGGCCGAUGUUGAGUGGCAUCAAGUCGAGGCCGAGGCGUGCGAGGGGUGCCAGCGGAGCGGUCACCUGCCGAAGAUGGCCAAGUGCA
rnacentral:lncRNA from 1 species